UACGAAGGGGGCUAGCGUUGCUCGGAAUCACUGGGCGUAAAGGGUGCGUAGGCGGGUCUUUAAGUCAGGGGUGAAAUCCUGGAGCUCAACUCCAGAACUGCCUUUGAUACUGAGGAUCUUGAGUUCGGGAGAGGUGAGUGGAACUGCGAGUGUAGAGGUGAAAUUCGUAGAUAUUCGCAAGAACACCAGUGGCGAAGGCGGCGACCUGGGUCGAGACUGACGCUGAGGCGCGAAAGCGUGGGGAGCAAACAGG
rnacentral:rRNA from 1 species